GACGAACGCUGGCGGCGUGCCUAAUACAUGCAAGUCGAACGCAGUGGGGACGGGUGAGUAACACGUGGGUAACCUCCCAUCAGAGGGGAUAACACUUGGAAACAGGUGCUAAACCGAUACUGAUGGAUGGACCCGCGGUUCAUUAGCUAGUUGGUGAGGUAACGGCUCACCAAGGCCAGGAUGCCUAGGCGACCUGGGGGGGGGGUCGGGCACACUUGGAAUGAGACCAGGUCCAGACUCCUACGGGAGGGAGGAGUAGGGAAUAUUCGGGAAUGGACGAAAGUCCGAACCAGCAAAGCCGCGGGAGUGAAGAAGGUUUUCGGAUUGGAAAACUCUGUUGUUAGAGAAGCGGUAUCUAACCAGAAAGCCAAGGCUAACUACGUGCCAGCCGCCGCGGUAAUUC
rnacentral:rRNA from 1 species